UGCCACGACCAUGCUUCACUGUGGGUAUGGUGUUCUUUUGGUGAUGAGCAGUGUUGAUUUUGGCCCAAAUAUACCUUUUACAAUGAUGCCCAAAAAGUUCAACUUUGGUUUCAUCAGACCAUAACACAUUUUCCCACGUGUUUGGGAGAUUUCAGAUGUCUUUUUGCAAAAUUAAACCAGGCUUUAAUGUGUUUCUUUGUAAGAUAAGGCUUCCGUCUUGCCACCCUACCCCAUAGCCCAGACAUAUGAAGACAGCGGGAGAUUGUUGUCACAUGUACUACACAGCCAGUACUUGCCAGAAAUUCCUGCAGCUCCUUCAGUGUUGCUGUCGGCCUCUUGGCAGCCUCCCUGACCAGUUUUCUUCUUGUCUUAUCAUCAAUUUUGGACGGACGUCCUGUUCUUGGUAAUGUCACUGUUGUGCCAUAUUUUCUCCAUUUGAUGAUGACAGUCUUUACUGUGUUCCAUGGUAUAUUUAAUUCCUUGGAAAUUCUUUUGUAGCCUCAC